ACAUGCGCGCUGUCCUGGUUCGGGAGAUGGACGGCUGCCGUGUUUUGGGCCGUGUCUGGAGUGGCUGGCGGCGGGGCCUGGGUGUCCGCCCAGUGCCCGAGGACGCAGGCUUUGGCACCGAAGCCCGGCAUCAGAGGCAACUCCGCGGCUCCCGCCAACGGUCGGGGCCCCUCGGGGACCAGCCCUUCCCGGGGCUGCUGCCAAAAAACCUCAGUCGGGAGGAGUUGGUUGAUGCGCUGCGGGCAGCCGUGGUGGACCGGAAAGGACCUCUAGUGACGUUGAACAAGCCACAGGGUCUACCAGUGACAGGAAAACCAGGAGAGCUGACAUUGUUCUCAGUGCUGCCAGAGCUGAGCCAGUCCCUAGGGCUCGGGAAGCAGGAGCUUCAGGUUGUCCGAGCAUCUGGGAAGUAAGUGGUAGGGGUGACAGGAAGCUAGGAGUACAGACAUCCAUCUGUGGUGAGGAAACAGCUGCUUGGGGAUAAGCUGAGACAUUUUCCAUGGGAAGGUUUGAGAUCAUAGAGGUGGAUACAAGUACUGUGAAGAGGAGGAAGCCGACGGCUCUGGGUUCAAAUCCUCAAGUACAAAUGGUGUGAUACCAGGCAAAGCAUGACACCUCCCUGACGCUGGGCACAGUGACUCACACCUGUAAUCCCAGCACUUCAGGAGGCCAAGGCAAGAGGAUCACUUGAGCCCAGGAGUUCGAGACCAGCCUGGGCAAAAUAGACCCCAUCUCUGGAAAACAACAACAAAACUUUCUGUGUGGUGGCUCAUGCCUGUAAUCGCUAGGACUUUGGGAGGCCGAGGUGGGAGGAUUGCUUGAGUCCAGGAGUUCAAGACCAGCCUGGGCAACAUGGCAAAACCCUAUCUUUACUUAAAAAACAAAACAAACACACACACACACACACACACACACACACACACAAAACCUAGCUGGGCAUAGUAGCACAUGCCUGUAGUGCUCGGGUGGCUGAGAUGGGAGAAUCACCUGAGCUCAGAAGAUGGCGGCUGCAAUAAGCUGAGAUCCCGCCACUGUACUCGAGCCUAAACAACCUGAGUGAGACCAUGUCUCAAAAAAACAAAACAAAAAAAAUACCCUCCCUGAGCCUCAGUUCCCCUAAUGGUAAAAUAGAGAAAAUAAUACCUAUGCUCAGUGUGCAGUCAUUUCUCCAUGACUGUACUCGUGGCAGGCAUUGCUAGUCGAUCCAUGAUACUCUUUCCUCUAACUGCCAUCAGUUAAAGAUGGUACUUAAGAUGAAAUAUUUCUGCAGUUCCACAAACUCAUGAGCUUUUUUGUGGAGAACUUAUUUAAGAGCUAAUAUAUACAGAAUUUCUAGUAGAGUUCUGGCACAUUGUAGACAAUCGUUACGACAUUUGGCUCUGAGCUCCCUGGGGGCCGGGGCAAAAUGAGAAACACAUUAAGCUACAUAGUCUUGUUAUCAAAGAAGGGGAAACGUUACUUGUUUCUCAGGAGGUGGUCUAGGUUAUAGUCCUGGUGUUAGUGUUUGGCCUGAAGCAGGUCAGUGUUCCUAAGAGUUUCCUUUUUAGUGGGCAAGUUCAAGGGACUUUAACUUGUGUGAUUUGUUUCCUUAUUCCAGGGAAAGCUCUGGGCUUGUACUCCUCUCCAGCUGUCCCCAGACAGCUAGUCGCCUCCAGAAGUUCUUCACCCAUGCACGGAGAGCCCAGAGGCCCACAGCCACCUACUGGUGAGAGGUGCUGGGAGGUUCCUAGAGUGGUGGGGAGGUCCCAGCAAGCCACCCUGUGACCUCCUCCUGCCCCUUUCUCAGUGCUGUCACUGAUGGGAUCCCAGCUGCUUCUGAGGGGAAGAUCCAGGCCGCCCUGAAACUGGAACACAUUGAUGGGGUCAAUCUUGUGAGUCCGGGUCUGGGCAGGGAAGAGGAAGGAUGCUUCUAGAUAUGAGUACCCCUACAGAGAGGAGUCAGGGGUAUGGAUUUGGGAUGGCUGGCUCUCCUGUCCCCUAAAACAGGCAAGUGACCACUGCCUAUACUGUGGCCCUGCCCAGAGUCUGUUGGGAGCAGGGAGGGUCUGGGUAUAGCUCCCAGGCCUGUGUAAGGCUUAUUCACUCUUGGCUGGCACCACAGACAGUUCCAGUGAAGGCCCCAUCCCGAAAGGACAUCCUGGAAGGUGUCAAGAAGACUCUCAGUCACUUUCGUGUGGUAGCCACAGGCUCUGGCUGUGCCCUGGUCCAGCUGCAGCCACUGACAGGUAGGUCUGGCACCCCAGCCAACCUUUAAAACUGCACUUGAUUUGGGAGGCUGAGGCAGGUGGAUCACGAGGUCCGGAGGUCAAGACCAGUCUGGCCAAGAUGGUGAAACCGUGUUUCAACUAAAAACUACAAAAAUUAGCUGGGCACGGUGGCAGGCGCCUGUAAAACCAGCUACUGGGAAGGCUGAGGGAGGAGAAUCGCUUGAACCCGGGAGGCAGAAGUUGCAAUGAGCCAAGAUCACGCCACUGCACUCCAGCCUAGGUGAUAGAGUGAGACUUCAUCU
rnacentral:sRNA from 1 species